UAUAUACAAAUUUGUAAAAUUUUCCUACAAUUAAAAUAAAUAUUUAUAUAAUAAUUAUAAUUAAAUUCAAUAUUUAUAUAGGAAUCUUAUAUCUACAAUGUAUAACAUAUAACAAGUCGAUCAUAGUAAGUACGGAAAAUAUUGCCAUGGAAAAUUUCUUAUACCGGAUGUUGAUCAAUUAAAGCGAAUCAAAAUAUAAAGACGGGUGCGGCGUUAUUGCGCUUCAUGACUGGACUCGUUUCAACUGUAGUAUCAGUUGAACGUGAGACGUCGGUGUUGCAGUGUUGUUCAUGUCAUCUCUAACCUAACCUGUUGAAUAUUUUCCUUUGAACUUUUGAUAUUUAUUCGGAUUUUUUUUUCGAAAUAAAAGUUACUGGAA